rnacentral:rRNA from 1 species
UACGUAGGGUGCAAGCGUUGCCCGGAUUUACUGGGCGUAAAGCGCGCGCAGGCGGUCGCGCAGGUCAUCUGUGAAAGCCCCCGGCUCAACCGGGCGGAUGCGGGUGAAACCGCGCGACUUGAGGGUGGGAGAGGUCGGUGGAAUUCCCGGUGUAGUGGUGAAAUGCGUAGAUAUCGGGAGGAACACCCGUAGCGAAGGCGGCCGACUGGACCACACCUGACGCUGAGGCGCGAAGGCCAGGGGAGCGAACGGG